GCGGGGCCGGAUCGCUGGAGUGACGUCAGGGGAGGCAGGUCUCCAGCUGGUGCAGGUGGAAAGGGCUCUGGAGCCGGCUGGAAGGGGCGAGAGAGAAGGUUCGUCUUAAAGGGCGAGGACUCUUUAACUCUCCCACCACCCGCUGGGCUGGGUCCCGGCCUCUUUUGCAAAGUGAGCGGCUCAGGUGAAGGGGUGUAUCGUGUCAUGAGUGUCCUAGAUGAAGCCUGAUUUUCCAGGGACGUGAAGAAUGACGAGUGUGACAAGUGUGUAUGCAGAAGGAUUGAAAUAUACACGGCAGUGGCGCAAACCUGCAGCUAACUGUGUGUGAAGAACUUUGCCUAGAGUGUGGCCCUGAAGAAUCUCUAUAGAAUGGCUCACGCAGGUUUUAAGAAAUGCACCAUCUCCACU